CCUACGGGAGGCAGCAGUGGGGAAUAUUGCACAAUGGGGGGAACCCUGAUGCAGCGACGCCGCGUGAGUGAAGAAGUAUUUCGGUAUGUAAAGCUCUAUCAGCAGGGAAGAAAAUGACGGUACCUGACUAAGCAGCCCCGGCUAACUACGUGCCAGCAGCCGCGGUAAUACGUAGGGGGCAAGCGUUAUCCGGAUUUACUGGGUGUAAAGGGAGCGUAGACGGCUGUGCAAGUCAGGAGUGAAAGCCCGGGGCCCAACCCCCGGACUGCUCUGGAAACUGUAAAGCUAGAGUGCAGGAGAGGUAAGCGGAAUUCCUAGUGUAGCGGUGAAAUGCGUAGAUAUUAGGAGGAACACCAGUGGCGAAGGCGGCUUACUGGACUGCAACUGACGUUGAGGCUCGAAAGCGUGGGGAGCAAACAGGAUUAGAUACCCGAGUAGUC
rnacentral:rRNA from 1 species